rnacentral:rRNA from 1 species
UACGUAGGGACCGAGCGUUGUCCGGAAUCAUUGGGCGUAAAGCGCGUGUAGGCGGCUUGGUAGGUUUCGUGUUAAAUCCCUCGGCUCAACUGAGGAACUGCCUUUGAAACUGGACGGCUUGAGGCCGGGAGAGGGUAGCGGAAUUCCCAGUGUAGCGGUGAAAUGCGUAGAUACUGGGAGGAACACCGGUGGCGAAGGCGGCUACCUGGACCGGUUCUGACGCUGAGGCGCGAAAGCGUGGGUAGCAAACAGG